CCCACCUGACUCCAUUCCGAACUCAGAAGUGAAACGAAAUAGCGUCGAUGGUAGUGUGGGGUUUCCCCAUGUGAGAGUAGAACAUCGCCAGGC
rnacentral:rRNA from 1 species